UUUGCAGAUUUCCGUGUGGUCUGAAGAAGAUUACAAAACUUCAGCUGCCCUUGCCAAAAAUKUAUUUUAUAUUUGUUAUUUAUUCUGUGCUGUUACUCUGGGCCUUUUCGUCCUGAAGAGGUUGAACCUUCCAGCACCCAAAAAAAGAUAAAGUUUUGCGUAAAUUUCCUUAUCAAAUGACAAACAAGGAGUUCAAGGCAUCAGACAARAAAGUCAUCAGGGCUAAUCCUGUAGCUUUUUUUUGCUAGUAUUUGUUCAAAAGCAAAGCAUGUUGGUAUUGUAUAGUAGGAACUCACCCAGAUAGAAGUCAGUCAACUURAAAUUAGAGAAUUUUAAUUUUAAAUUGCUUCAUAAAGAUGGGCAGCUUUGCCAUAACUCUGUGUUAUUCCUAAUGGGAAUAGGAAGAACAAUUCARUGAUCAGCUGUUGGAAAUUCGAAUAAAUCAGUAUUUUUCAUUCAGGAAGAUGCCAAGGCAAUGAAUCUUGUGUUCCAGAAAGGCCGUUCUGUUCUCCAGGAAUAACCCCAUAAAACUGAGCAGCCUGUGCAAAGUGGAAGAGUAGAAACGAAGUGGACCAAGAUGUACUAAUAURGCAUGAGGCUCUUCAGAAACAAAUGUGAUUUACCAUAAGAACAACUGUCAGCCCUUUUGGAAAAUCUUCAAUGCUAUGCACCAGUGAAGGAGAUCCAGUGAGCCAGUUCCUUUGGUAUGUGUGUUAGAACAAUCCAAUUGGGGCUUCACAGUUGCCUGAAUGAUACGCAUAAGAACAUUCCAGCACAUAGAGAAGAUGCAGCCUUGGCAAAACUGUACAUAUCAAAGAUAAUCAAAGCAAUCACUUGUACUAUCACCAGUGAGAAUGGCAGGAUUGGGGGUUUCGAUUAGUUUAAAGUUUAUUUGGAUAAUCAUCUUGUGGAAGUUGUAGCAGCCCUGAGUUUGGGUUAAAAAAUAAAGAUGUUGUGAACUUCUUUUGGU